rnacentral:lncRNA from 1 species
AUGUCCUACCUCAGAGGUCCUGCUGAGGAUCCCUGGUUCCCAGUAGGGAAGACCGUGAGGAGGAGGGCCAAGAAAGGCACUCUUUCCAGUGAUUUCCAUCGCCAUUCGUACAUGGAGUUUGGCUACAGCAAAAUCCGUUGCUAUCUCACCAGCUACAAGAAAGAAAGACAAAAUUCCAAUUCAUUUUUGUGCUCUAGGACCUUGGUUAAAGGUAGAAGGACUUUGCAGAUGGAAGUGGCAACAGCAGAAAUGCAUGUCUGAAUGAAUUUUACCUUGCCUUAGCCCAACCUGGAUUAAAGGCUGCUUCUAAGAGGGAAAAUCUCAGCUUCAGUGUUUGGAACUGGGGUCAUCCUGGAAUUUUCUUUUUUGAGGGGCUUGACAAAAUAGAGAAGCAGAAAAGUCUGUCUUCAGCUCCUAUUAUGGUGAUCCACAGUGUUUCAGCCUUGUUUCUACUUCCUCUGGGUGUCUAGCUACUCCCCAGCCCUCCCUCUCUUCCUCAGCCUUGCCCUUCUCUCAUCUUCUCAAAGUCACCUGUUUUACGACACCUUAAUGAUUACUAUUUUAUUUAACACAGUGAUUACUGUAAGGCUGGUUGCCUUGCCAGGAGCUCAGACACGCCCACCCCCCUCCGCACUUAGAAACCACGUCAUCAUCCCGCACCCACUUCUGCACUCAGCACUAGACUCUGCACUCAGCACCUAGCCAGCCGUUGAAGAAUCCCGCCAAAAUUUAAAAGAAGCCCCACCAAAAUCUGCCCAAUAGCAUUGUGCAUCCCGCUUGCCUGACAAUGGCAGCUUGCCCCGCCCACGACCUGCUUCCCCACAACCAAUCAAGAUGCGUCCACUCCCCAUAAAACCCCACAUCUGAGAAGAGUCAAGCGUGACUUCUCCGGCCCCUCCUGUCGGACCGCAGAACCUCGCCCCAGAGUUUAAUAAAUUCGUAUUCAAUCUUCUUGUGCUGGCCUCAGUUUCCUCAUUUUAAACUCGGCAAUAACCCUUACAAUUACUAUUUCCCAUGUAUUAUGGUUUUAUAUAUAUGAGCUUCAUUAAAACUCUAACAAUCCUAUGAGGUAGAAAUUAUUAAUGUCCCAAUUUCACUGAUGAGGGAACUUAGGUACAGAGAAUUCAGGGUUCUUUCUCAUAAGUGUCAAAGAUGAGAUUCAAAACCCAGGCAGUCAGCUCCAGAAUCUAUGAUCUUAACCACUACAGUAUGAUGACUUUCUAUGACUGAUAAAUAUGACAAAUAUGCUUUAAACUAGCAUUCCCCAACCUUUUUGGCACUAAAGAUUGGUUUUGUGGGAGGCAAUGUUUCCAUGGACCGGGGCAGGGAUGGUUUUGGGAUGAUUCAAGCACAUUAUAUUUAUUGUGUACUUUAUUUGUAUUAUUAUUUCAUUGUAAUAUAUAAUGAAAUAAUUAUAUAACUCACCAUAAUGUAGAAUCAGUGGGAGCCCUGAGCUUGUUUUCCUGCAACUAGACAGUCACAUCUGGGGGCAUUGGGAGACAUUGACAGAUUAUCAGGCAUUAGGUUAUCAUAAGGAGCAUGCAACCUAGAACCCUUGCGCACACAGGUCACAAUAGGGUUGGCAUUUCUAUAAGAAUCUAAUGCCGCUGCUGAUCUGACAAGAGGCAGAGCUCAGGUGGUAAUAUGAGAAAUGGGGAAUGGUUAUAAAUACAGACAAAGCUUCAGUGGGUCACCCAGACGUUUAGGACCCCUGCUUUAAACUAUUCUCUUUCUCAAAGCCUUUGGUAUUAUGGAAAAGCAAAAAGCCUUCAGCUGAAGGAAUGAAACAUUUAGAUGUGGGACUUCAGAUGGCAGGUGACAGGUCCAUCUGGGGCCAACUCUGCCUUCCAGGUGCCCUUCAUCCAUAUCAUAUCCUGUCACCCAGGCUGAGGAAUGCCCAGGACACCCACAAGGAAGAAUUUAGUACAUAUAGUAGCUCUAUCUUGUGCAACUAACAUUUAGGAAAUGGAAUUACUAUGUGCCAGAUAUUGUGUUAGGAGGUGUACUUGUACUAUAUCAUCAUCCAUGUAGGGCAGGUAGUAUUAACUCUCUCUUAAAUAAUCAGGAAAUUGAAGGAUCAAGUGGUGAAUGGCUAGGUAAUUAACGUAAGUCACGCAAGUUGAAACGGCAGUCCCAGGUCAGCCUGAACCCAACACCUGGUCUCUUUUUACAACAAAAACUUGAUUAUAGAAAGGUUAGAGCUUCUAGUUUUGCAUUCUUUAUUUUUGGUUAGAAUGCCAGUUUUGGCAAAUGACAAGGUAAGAAUAGAACCUACCAUUUCCUCACCCAUGAAUCAGUUACUCCCCCAGACUGUUUCAUUUUAGACCAUGGAUUUACCACGGCUUUACCACUAGCCUAGGGCCCCAAAUCGAAAACUCAAGACCUGACCUUUCUUUCUCCCUUACCCUAUCGCCUGUUUUUGCAGUUUACCAUCAAGUAAUGUCAAUUCUAUCUCCAAAGUACAUCAUGAGCUCAUCUAUUUCUGUCCAUCCCCACUAGCAGACCCAAGUCCAGGACUCAUCAACCAUUGCCCAAACUACGUCAACAGUGCCUUCUUGUGCACGCCUCAUCUACCCCACAAUUUAUCUUCAUAGAGAUGUGUACACUCUUCUUAGGACAUGUAUUGGAUCUUGUCCCUUUAUAUUUAAGAGUUUUCCAGCUGGAUUUGAUGUCACUUUUCCCGUGCUGUCACUAAUCCACAGCCACAACAGAAUGGGUCACACUCUCCCACACUUUGGACCCUUUGCCCAUGCCAGAAUCGUCCCCUGACCCUCUUCCUGUGACUGUCACCUCUUCAAAAAGGUCCACUGAACCUGAAGUCGACGUCCUCCCUCUAUCAAGAUUCAAUGUAUCAAAUUUACUCCUUCGAAGCCUUACACUAGCACCUGACAUACAGUAAGCACUCAAUUAUUGGCAGCUUUUGUUUCUGUUUUGACCGUUGUUAUAGUGAAUAUUCUAAAAAUGCAUGCCUAGAUGAUUGGAUAAAUGGAGUAGGGAAGAGAAAUAACAUCAAUAUCUUGGCCCCAGCGGCUUCUAAGAGAGGCAGCUUAAAUAUUUUUAAAGGAGAAACAAUGUAGGCUUGUAAAUCCUCCUUCCUGCCUUAAAAAUAAAUGUUAUUGCUAUGAUUGUCACGUACACAAGUACUAUGUGCAUAAUGGAAGCAUGUUUUACAAUAGAAUAUAAAAUAUAUUUUUAAAAAUACAAGAACACUUAAACUAUAUUUUUAAAAGCAGUGUUCAGGCCUGAUUGAUUUUCCUAAACAGGUUUUGCCUCAGCUCUUGCAGAUCCUUGUCAAGUUUUUUCUGACUUAGCAACAAAUAUCUAAAAUAAAGUUUAUCUUUUUAAUUUUCCAGUCUCCUUAUUCACAAAAUAGGAAAUAACUUCUAAAGACAGGAAAGAAAGAAACAGGGUGAAGAUAAAUUGGGUUAGAAUAACCCAUGACCUAGAUCAUUAGACUUUGUCCAGUUAAGAGCUGCCUUUUAACAGAGUUAAAAGUGACAGCAUCAUGGCCUCACACCCAACAGGGUUUGAGGCUGAACCUUUCUUUGAAAAUCAAUGCUCUGAUUUAUUCACAAAGAUACCCAUCACAGCAUUAUUAAUAAUAUUUCCUGUCCAAUGCUGGGGAUCCAGUUCAAUUAGCUAUAGAACAGACAUUUGAUGAAAUAUUAUAAAGCUAUUAAAAUAACAGGGGGCAAAUAAAUUUUAAAACAUGGGGAAAGCCUUGAUGUUUAAAUAUUAAGUGAAUGAAGGAAUUCUAUGAAUGAAACUCAUUAAAACAUGUCUUCACAAUAGCCACAUUGAUUGGACAUUUAGUUUCAUUCAGGCAUCAUUUCCAAAUGAGAUACAGCAGGGCAAGCUUGGAAACAAAUCAGGAACCUCUUGAUCCAUGGCACAAUGCUGUCGACCCCUAAGUUCUUCCUCCUGAUCUAAACCAAGGUUUGGAAGUACACUAAAAUAUUAAUACUAUACAUCAUUGCAGGCUUUUCUUCUUUGUUCCUCUGUAUUUUGCAAAUGUUCCAACACCUUUUAAAAAACACUUUUGUUCUCCUUUACAGUCUCCCUGGGAACUUCUAGAAGGCAGCUGCUGCGGACUCACAUCAUCCCUCCUUCCUCCUUUAUUUAUAAAUGUGUAAAUAAAGAAAUACCUCUGUGCCUUUAAAUUAUAACAGGUUAAACUUUCCCCUGUAAGUUGAUACUCAGACCAGAAGUCUGUGGGUAGGAUGAGUGUUGUGUUUUUUUGUUGCAGCUUCUUUUGGCUGAUAAACUAGCACUUAAGUGUUUCCCCUUUCCAAACCCCCAAAUGACAAGUGUCUUUGUGGUACUGUGAUGGCCCAACUGUCAUGGCCAACAUGAACGGUGUUGAGGACACUUAUUUUUAGCUUAAUCUCUAAGGAAGCACUAGGCUGGGGAUCCAGAGACCUUGAGGCCCAAACCCCUAGAAUCCCCAGAUUGGAGCUUCUAAAGAGAAAGAAAGGUGAGGCAACCAGAGCUCUUCGGGAUGGCCCAUACUCCUCCUCUCCAGAUGGGCCAGAAAGGCAGAGAUCUUACUUUUGGUGAGAUCUAUAUAAAAAGACUGUAAUGCCCUUUUUAUAUAGUUUAAUUUUACCAAAGAUGCUAUGAAACAGAAACAGGUUGACUCCAUUUGAAUAAAUGUAAACCCAGGCAGCCUUAGGGAGCUAUUACAGCAAUGAGGCCGAUGACAAGAAAUGGAGACACUUCUGCAGACAUCUGUUUCUAUGGCCUCCUCAACACCUUAUUCUCCCAUCAGCUAACACAGCUUCACUAUUUUAUUGAGAAGCUGCUAUUCUCUUUGGCAUUUACUUUUAAAGCAAGGUGCCACACCUUCCCUUGGUCAAGUAAUUGGCAUGUUAUCAAGUAUAUUAGUUUGUCUUCAUGCUGCUGAUAAAAGCAUACCAGAGACUGGAAAGAAAAAGAGGCUUAAUUGGGCUUACAGUUCCACAUGGCUGGGGAGGCCUCAGAAUCAUGGUGGGAGGUAAAAGGCACUUCUUACAUGGCAACAGCAAGAGAAAAUGAGGAAGCAGCCAAAGCGGAAACCCCUGAUAAGCCCAUCAGAUCUCUUGAGACUUAUUUGCUAUUAUGAGAAUAGCACGGGGAAGAUCAGCCCCCAUGAUGCAAUUACCUCCCCUGGGUCCCUCCUACAACANNNNNNNNNNNNNNNNNNNNNNNNNCCCCCCACUCUACCCCCCAAC